AAUUUGUAUCUAAAAUUAGUUUCAGGCAGACAUGUCCUUUUCUAUCUUCCUUUGUAUUAUAUGGUUGAUGGUGUUCUAUAGACCUGUUAACUAGUUGCUCUGAUUAUUCUGAUCUUAAGUUGAAAUGUUAUCUAUGCAAAGAUUUUUUGGACCCUAAAGUUAGAACUGUUUAGAUUUGGUCACAUGGUUAUUCAGAUCUUAAGUUGAAAUGUUAUCUAUGCAAAGAUUUUUCGGACCCUAAAGUUAGAACUGUCAAGCUUUCGUCACAUGGUUGGAAAUUAUCAGGAAGAGAUCUCAAGUUCAAGUUAGUUUGACAUUAUUAUCAAUUUUGUGUUUUGGGAUAUCUCUUGGCCUGGUUGAAUUUGACAUCUGAUUGUAUAACAAGAAAUAUGGAAGUUAUUGCAAUGCCCUUUUGGCACUUCUAAUUAUUUACUUUGAAACCAACCAAGCUAUCAAAUAACAAGACGAAACUACAAUAUCACACAUCAUUCUCUUAAACUCCCAGUAAUCCUAGUGGAUCAGAACGGACAUAACAAGAAAAUCUCAUUUACAUGAUUAGCCUAUCCAUCUGAUUAAUGGGUUUUCCUCCUUUUAGAUAAUUUAGCCGAGUCAUUUGAUAAUCCAAAUUAUUAGUGAUCAGCCAAUAUAAAGAAUUUGAUAGAAGUAGGAGAUUUAAAUUUUUUGAGUUUGGAUUGGGAUCAUUGAAGAAGGGUGUGAAAACAUUAGGGAAUUGAAAACCUGAGUAC